GCUUGGCGACACUGCGAUCCCAGAGACAGCGUGUGCUCUGCAUUUCCCCGGUUUAUUCAUUGGUGUCCUUUUCCCGUCAGAGAGAGGAGACACACCGCCUCUUCCCAAGUUCACAAGGCAAGCGACCGCCCGUGAUCCGCAGUGGGUUUGCGGAGUGCUCCGUAGCCUGACAGACGCAGACCACCCAGCGAACGUCACGCCCCAGCCCCCCGAAAAUGUGCAGGAUUUUCGGGACGGGCUGAGGGGAGCUGCGGAGGAAGGGGGAUAUCUGAGAACAGAGUGGAAGCGCCUUCCUUGGCUGAACUCUUCCUCUUCCAGAGGGUGGAUCCUGUAUCCGACUUUCUGAUAUCAUGGUUUAUACUCCUUCCGUCCCGUGUGUCCUGUAUAUAAACCUCAAACGUUUGCUCACGCUCCGGGCAUCUGGUGAAGUGGACUGUCGCAUACAACAGAUUUCCCUUCGUGACACCAAGAGGAGAAAUGCAUUUACUUCCGAGGUGCCGCAAGACUCUGCUGUCCGUGCUACGUGCAAGGCCAGUGCUAGGUGCUGAAAAGAUCGAGGGUCAAGCCUGCGGGACCAGACUGGCCCGGCCCAAAAGCUGUUUUGCAUAAGCUCAAAAGCUCACCUGUAACUGACCCCUGCCUCCUAAGGAGACCCCCAUUUGCAAAAAGGGACUAGUGGCUGAGAAAGAAGAGAGCAUUUGCUUUCAAGAAAUCCCCCAGGCUGCAAGAUUCAAGGGGGGGGGGGCAGCAGGAGGUGAAGUGCAGGUGGGACAAAAGCCAGUUCACCUGCGGGAUCAGAGCGGACAGGGCUCUUGGACGCCACACCUUUGUCCCAGCAAGCGCCCGCCCGUGGAGGCAGCGCAGAGAGUAAGCGGCCCCCGCAGGAAUGCGGGAUUUGGGGUGGAAGAUCUGGGGCUCCAGCCCGGCUGGGUAUCCUGCUUAUCCCCUCUGGAAAAUUCUGGAAACUCUAGCAAGGCGGGACCCAGAAGGAAGCUGCAAAGAAGAGGCAAAUGCUGCUCUGAGCGCACCGCUCUCUGGAAGCACCGGAAACCUUUCACUGUGGACUCUGGGGGAGACUCCGGAGGGACAUGAUGUUUUCCUAUCAGCAUAUUGGUGGAUGCAUAUGGAAGCAGGAAGGAAGGAAGGAAGGAGAAGGCCCCGGAGGACUAUUCCAGCUUCUAAUAAUGGUCAGGGAUUUGACAAGCACGGGGUCUCCGGCUCCUACCAUUUCCAAAUCGAAAUGCUUCUGAAAAUGCUGAGCGUUCCACCAGCAUUAAAUCUUUCUGCACAGGCCGGCUGACCUAAACUAUCCAUGUUAUUUUCCUUUGCCUUUCUUUCACCUCCUCUUUGUCUCUCUCUCCCCGCUCCCUUCCUCUAUUUAAAUAACACUUGAGGUUGGAACCGAAUCAAACACUUAGUGGCCUGAGCCCAUAUUGUGUUGAUUUAAAACUAUGUUGGGGUGAGGGGAAGGGCACAGGCAGUUGGCUUUAAAACUCAUUUUGGGGGUCGUGGGGGAGUCUGAGAAGCCAGGAGAACAGUGAGGAGCUGGAAUCUAUUAGUGCAGCCCGAGAGACGACUCUGGAACAGCCAUCUCUGCUUGGUUGAUACGCAAUGCGGUGAACGCAAUGCGGGGAAUCAAGGGCACUUGUUUUGGAGAGAAACGUUUUUGGAGAGUGGCUACGGCUUCGCACAUCCAGGUAGUGACAGGAUAACCCAUGCUCAGGAUAACAACCAGCCACGGUGAACAGAACCAAGCAACAAACCAUGAACUCUCUUCAUGGAUUUUGCGUGGUUCACAAGCCACAGCUUAUUAGCACGCCUGAGUCCAGACAUUUCAGCGGCAACAACCCACACUCAACCCAUGCUGAACCCACUCAACUGUUAUAGCGCAAUAUAACAUCCAUGUUUACAGUCGGUGGAUGCCAGUAAAUUCUAGUACACCCUUCCCUCACCUGGUACUGUGUUGGACUACAACUCCCAGAAUCCCACAGUCAGCAUAGCAUUAUGGGAGUUGUAGCCCGAUGCAUCAGAAGGCAGCCAAUAUGGGAGCACUGUGGGAGUUGCUGGGGCCUACAGUGAAAGAGGGCUUGUGGGCGUCUUUGCGGUCCCUGAGCCAGUCCAGCUUCUGGACCUGCCCUGGCAGUAGGUGGAAUGAAACAGAUGCCUCAGGGAGCAGCGCUGGGAGGUGCACCAAGGUGUUCGAGGAGAGAGCUGUGGGCCAUGCACAACCAGGGCGUCUUCUUUUCACCGGGUCCAGCGCUUACUUUUUAGAGCAUCUGUUCUGGUGACUUCAACCAAAGUUUCAGUCUGGGUCAGACUCCUGCACUGAACUUAGGAGGGAUUCUCCCACGGGUGCAACCAAGUCUCCUGCUGACUUUGGAUGGGCCUUUAUGGCGGUCCCUCCCCUAAGCCAAGGAGCAUUUUGCUUCCGAGAAUUAAGCAGCCCACCAGCAGCCAAGGCCUUCGCCCAUUUGCAAGAAAACUUUCCGCAUUCACAGUUAGUUCACGACACAGGCAGGACCAAUCCCAUUUCCAACAUAGAUUGGUUUUCAGUGCCAUGUGUUAUAAUGCGCUGUCCGUUGUGGCGGGUCAUGGGUGAAGGCAACCCUGUGAUCUUUGGUAUGAGCAGGGAAUCUCCAGGACUCCGCCACUAGGAGACCUGUGUUCACAGGCAACGCAAAACCCACAGGAAGGUUUAAUUUGCACGCGUCAGCCAGAUUUCUUGCAUAGCUCUCCAGUGUUUACUGCAGCCUGCAAGGGAAUUGGUCUUUCAAUACCCAGAAUGGUGUUAAGAGCAGAGGAGAUACCUGGACCAUUCAGACCAAAGGUCCCUGCUGCCUGGCAUUCUGCCUCCAACACCAGAGAGCCAGGUGCCUCUGGGGAAGCUUGUCCCCAGGGUCGCUUGUUCAGAGGUAGACUGUGCCUAUGGCUGGAGGCUCUAUUUAGAAUCAGGGCCAGUAAUGUUGCAGUCGUUGUUGAGGUGCAGUUGCUCAUUACGUCAGCCCUGAAGCCAUAUUCCCAGGGGGACACCAAAAACAGUGCUCUGCAGCAGUAGGUCAGGUCUGGUCAUUUUCGUCAGCCUGGGGAGGGGAGAGCGGGUCUUUCAUAAAGCCAAUGGGUCUUAACUGCCCAUUCCAGACCAGCCCACCAGGGACCGAUUCACAGUUCUUGGCAAACAUCACUUUCCCCGGCUGUUGUGAGAACUGCAGCCGAGCGGAGACGAAGCAGGGAAUCCUGAAAUCGGCAUCUUUGCCAAUUGCAGACUCCCGGAGCUCCGUCCCUGUGAGCCCCGGUUCCAUGCCAGCACUCAUGGUAGCUCACAGCUAUUGAUAGACACGUGCAGACGUGUGCUUUGCAUGGACAUCGCCCCCGCCUCGCAGCCCAGAUUUCCACCGGCAAAGGUGGCCUCUUGGUCCUUCUGCCCCCCGCCCCUGCCUGCCCUGUGCUGUGGUGCCAUCCAGCCCAGUGAAGAACUCUGGAGAACGCAAAAGCUUCGUGUGAUGCGGCUGCCGGGUGACCUUUCGGUCGCCGCAGAUCUCCAAGCAGCCACCGGCACAGGGCAGAGUGCUGACGCAUGUUCUGAGCAUGUUGUCAAAAGUUCUUUAAACAGACAUUUCCAGGCAUCACGGUUAGCGGAAAUGUUACAAUGCGAGUGCCUCGAGCCAUGGGAAGAUGAAAGUGAAACUUCUCGUAUUUUCAUUGCGGAAGCAGAAUAAUCAGGGAAAGGGGAGAGGCCAGAAAUAAGAAAACAGAACUGUGCAUUCCUUCCAAGCUGCAGACUACUGUUCCUUUGUCUUAACUUUUCUUUCUUUUCUUACAAUUUUAUAAAAAUAAACACACCCAGCCAAACAAAAGUGCAUCAAAUGUGGAUCUCAUUAUUAAUUGAGCAUAAAUUUCAUGCUCGCUCCGUGCUGACACACACUGUAUUUUACAGAGAAAAUGCAGGUGGUAUCCUCAUGCUGAUGGAAAGAAUUUCUUUAUGGCUCUUUAUAAAUAGAUUGCAUGUCAGUUUUUCCCGUAAUUUGAGGAAAGGCUUUGACAAAUGCUUCUGUGUUCAUUCAAAGGUGUUACACAAUAACCUACCAGGGCUGGAUUGUGGAUUUCUUCAUGUGGUGUCCCAGAUCUAUGGGACGGGCCUCUGCCCUACGGCCUUGCUGUCCUUGGGUACUUGCCGAAAAAUUGGAUGAGCCGGCCGGACUUCCCCUCCUGCAGCCCCUGCCCCUGCUGCAUCUUAAAUGCCCUCUAUCCCAUUUCUGUCUGUUGUUGUGAUGUGCAGUCAAGCUGCCCAUGACUUAUGGCCACCCUAAGAAGGAAAGCCCUCCAUAAGGUCUUGUCCUGGACAGCCCUGCUCAGCGCCUGUCAACUCAAGCCUGAUGGAAUUGAUCCCUCUUAUAGGUGGUCAUUGCCGUCUUUUUCUGCCUUCUUUCUUCACCUUCCCCUAGCAUUAUAAUCCACACAGGGCUAUCCUUAGGAGACAGGCCCUUUUCAAGACACACAGAGAGACUUCAGAGCAAUACAAGUUCGCAUGUGAAUAAGGAAGGCUUCUGUUUUUCUCUUUUUCCCUGCAAGCCUCAGCCCUGGGUCUUUACAGUACCUUUUGAGCAUUUUUUUCAGCAUAUGUUCCUCAUUUGAAUAUACAAUAAAAUCAUGCCAUAUUGCAUACAAA